rnacentral:rRNA from 1 species
UUAAGUUAUUAAGGGCGCACGGUGGAUGCCUUGGCACUAGAAGCCGAUGAAGGACGUUACUAACGACGAUAUGCUUUGGGGAGCUGUAAGUAAGCUUUGAUCCAGAGAUUUCCGAAUGGGGAAACCCAGCAUGAGUUAUGUCAUGUUAUCGAUAUGUGAAUACAUAGCAUAUCAGAAGGCACACCCGGAGAACUGAAACAUCUUAGUACCCGGAGGAAGAGAAAGAAAAUUCGAUUCCCUUAGUAGCGGCGAGCGAAACGGGAAGAGCCCAAACCAACAAGCUUGCUUGUUGGGGUUGUAGGACACUCUAUACGGAGUUACAAAGGACGACAUUAGACGAAUCAUCUGGAAAGAUGAAUCAAAGAAGGUAAUAAUCCUGUAGUCGAAAAUGUUGUCUCUCUUGAGUGGAUCCUGAGUACGACGGAGCACGUGAAAUUCCGUUGGAAUCUGGGAGGACCAUCUCCUAAGGCUAAAUACUCUCUAGUGACCGAUAGUGAACCAGUACCGUGAGGGAAAGGUGAAAAGCACCCCGGAAGGGGAGUGAAAUAGAACCUGAAACCGUGUGCUUACAAGUAGUCAGAGCCCGUUAAUGGGUGAUGGCGUGCCUUUUGUAGAAUGAACCGGCGAGUUACGAUUUGAUGCAAGGUUAAGCAGUAAAUGUGGAGCCGUAGCGAAAGCGAGUCUGAAUAGGGCGUUUAGUAUUUGGUCGUAGACCCGAAACCAGGUGAUCUACCCUUGGUCAGGUUGAAGUUCAGGUAACACUGAAUGGAGGACCGAACCGACUUACGUUGAAAAGUGAGCGGAUGAACUGAGGGUAGCGGAGAAAUUCCAAUCGAACCUGGAGAUAGCUGGUUCUCUCCGAAAUAGCUUUAGGGCUAGCCUCAAGUGAUGAUUAUUGGAGGUAGAGCACUGUUUGGACGAGGGGCCCCUCUCGGGUUACCGAAUUCAGACAAACUCCGAAUGCCAAUUAAUUUAACUUGGGAGUCAGAACAUGGGUGAUAAGGUCCGUGUUCGAAAGGGAAACAGCCCAGACCACCAGCUAAGGUCCCAAAAUAUAUGUUAAGUGGAAAAGGAUGUGGCGUUGCCCAGACAACUAGGAUGUUGGCUUAGAAGCAGCCAUCAUUUAAAGAGUGCGUAAUAGCUCACUAGUCGAGUGACACUGCGCCGAAAAUGUACCGGGGCUAAACAUAUUACCGAAGCUGUGGAUUGUCCUUUGGACAAUGGUAGGAGAGCGUUCUAAGGGCGUUGAAGCAUGAUCGUAAGGACAUGUGGAGCGCUUAGAAGUGAGAAUGCCGGUGUGAGUAGCGAAAGACGGGUGAGAAUCCCGUCCACCGAUUGACUAAGGUUUCCAGAGGAAGGCUCGUCCGCUCUGGGUUAGUCGGGUCCUAAGCUGAGGCCGACAGGCGUAGGCGAUGGAUAACAGGUUGAUAUUCCUGUACCACCUAUAAUCGUUUUAAUCGAUGGGGGGACGCAGUAGGAUAGGCGAAGCGUGCGAUUGGAUUGCACGUCUAAGCAGUAAGGCUGAGUAUUAGGCAAAUCCGGUACUCAUUAAGGCUGAGCUGUGAUGGGGAGAAGACAUUGUGUCUUCGAGUCGUUGAUUUCACACUGCCGAGAAAAGCCUCUAGAUAGAAAAUAGGUGCCCGUACCGCAAACCGACACAGGUAGUCAAGAUGAGAAUUCUAAGGUGAGCGAGCGAACUCUCGUUAAGGAACUCGGCAAAAUGACCCCGUAACUUCGGGAGAAGGGGUGCUCUUUAGGGUUAACGCCCAGAAGAGCCGCAGUGAAUAGGCCCAAGCGACUGUUUAUCAAAAACACAGGUCUCUGCUAAACCGUAAGGUGAUGUAUAGGGGCUGACGCCUGCCCGGUGCUGGAAGGUUAAGAGGAGUGGUUAGCUUCUGCGAAGCUACGAAUCGAAGCCCCAGUAAACGGCGGCCGUAACUAUAACGGUCCUAAGGUAGCGAAAUUCCUUGUCGGGUAAGUUCCGACCCGCACGAAAGGCGUAACGAUUUGGGCACUGUCUCAACGAGAGACUCGGUGAAAUCAUAGUACCUGUGAAGAUGCAGGUUACCCGCGACAGGACGGAAAGACCCCGUGGAGCUUUACUGUAGCCUGAUAUUGAAAUUCGGCACAGCUUGUACAGGAUAGGUAGGAGCCUUUGAAACGUGAGCGCUAGCUUACGUGGAGGCGCUGGUGGGAUACUACCCUAGCUGUGUUGGCUUUCUAACCCGCACCACUUAUCGUGGUGGGAGACAGUGUCAGGCGGGCAGUUUGACUGGGGCGGUCGCCUCCUAAAAGGUAACGGAGGCGCUCAAAGGUUCCCUCAGAAUGGUUGGAAAUCAUUCAUAGAGUGUAAAGGCAUAAGGGAGCUUGACUGCGAGACCUACAAG